rnacentral:rRNA from 1 species
GUUGUAAGGUUAAGAAAUUAAGCGUACACGGUGGAUGCCUAGGCAAUCAGAGGCGAAGAAGGACGUGUUAAUCUGCGAAAAGCGACGGUAAGCUGAUAAAAAGCGUAAUAGCCGUCGAUGUCCGAAUGGGGAAACCCAGUGUAGGAGACUACACUAUCAUCUAAUGAAUUCAUAGUUAGAUGAGGCGAACCGGGAGAACUGAAACAUCUAAGUACCCCGAGGAAAAGAAAUCAACCGAGAUUCCCUGAGUAGCGGCGAGCGAAAGGGGAGGAGCCCAAGCGGGUAGCAUAAAGUAUUAGUGGAAGCGUCUGGAAAGUCGCACGAUAGAGGGUGAAAGUCCCGUACACGAAGGUACGUUAUGUGGAAGCUUAUAGAGUAGGGCGGGACACGUGAUAUCCUGUCUGAAGAGGGGGGGACCAUCCUCCAAGGCUAAAUACUCCUGAUUGACCGAUAGUGAACCAGUACCGUGAGGGAAAGGCGAAAAGAACCCCGGGAGGGGAGUGAAAUAGACCCUGAAACCGUGUACGUACAAUCAGUGGGAGCUGUUACCGUUGGGUAAUAGUGACUGCGUACCUUUUGUAUAAUGGGUCAGCGACUUAUAUUCUGUAGCGAGGUUAACCGAAUAGGGGAGCCGAAGGGAAACCGAGUAUUAACUGUGCGUUAAGUUGCAGGGUAUAGACCCGAAACCCGGUGAUCUAGCCAUGGGCAGGUUGAAGGUUGGUUAACACUAACUGGAGGACCGAACCGACUAAUGUUGAAAAAUUAGCGGAUGACCUGUGGCUGGGGGUGAAAGGCCAAUCAAACCGGGAGAUAGCUGGUUCUCCCCGAAAGCUAUUUAGGUAGCGCCUCAUGAAUGACUGUUGGGGGUAGAGCACUGUUUCGGCUAGGGGGCCAUCCCGGCUUACCAACCCGAUGCAAACUCCGAAUACUGACAAGUUGAAUCAUGGGAGACACACGGCGGG